UAACUUUUAAUAAUAAAUCUCUUAGUUCUAGUAUUAAUAAAGAACGUAGCGAAAUGCGAUAAGUAGUGUAAAUUAUAGAAUUUAGUAAAUUAUUAAAUCUUUAAACGUAUAUUACGCCCCUUAGUAUUUUAUAGAGCAUACCUAUUUAAGCGUUAUUA
rnacentral:rRNA from 1 species